AGCACAGAGAGCUUGCUCUCGGGUGACGAGCGGCGGACGGGUGAGUAAUGUCUGGGAAACUGCCUGAUGGAGGGGGAUAACUACUGGAAACGGUAGCUAAUACCGCNNAACGUCGCAAGACCAAAGUGGGGGACCUUCGGGCCUCAUGCCAUCAGAUGUGCCCAGAUGGGAUUAGCUAGUAGGUGGGGUAACGGCUCACCUAGGCGACGAUCCCUAGCUGGUCUGAGAGGAUGACCAGCCACACUGGAACUGAGACACGGUCCAGACUCCUACGGGAGGCAGCAGUGGGGAAUAUUGCACAAUGGGCGCAAGCCUGAUGCAGCCAUGCCGCGUGUGUGAAGAAGGCCUUCGGGUUGUAAAGCACUUUCAGCGGGGAGGAAGGC
rnacentral:rRNA from 1 species